rnacentral:pre_miRNA from 1 species
GAUUCUGCUGAAAAAGUCAUCAAUAACAAAGUUGUAUAACUCAUGAAGAUCUAUAACUUCUAUUUUGGUCAUUUCUUUAUCCGACAAAGUGAUAGUAACAUUUGUUCAAAAUUUACAUCUCUCUUAUAGUUUAUAAAAUUAUAUAAGAGAUAUGUACAUUUUGUGAACAAUCUUACAUAUCACUUUGUCGGAUGAAGAAAUGACCAAAAUAAAAGUUAUAGAUUUUAAUAAGUUAUACCACUUUAUUUUUGAUGACUUUUUCAGUUGAAAUC